UUCGUUACAUAAUCUCGGACCGGAGGAGCGGUGGCACAUGGCGGCGGAGCGGCGCUGGUGGUUCGCGUCCUGCGCCGGCAGUCGGGUCCCUUUACGGACGACCGGGGCCGCGACCCUUUCCCACUGUUCUCCCACGCGAUGGACUCGUUGGCGGGCCUUUCCCCGAGGGAAGUGGCCGGCGUGCUGAGCCUGUCCUGUGUUGGCGUGUGUUCCACAUGCGCUUGGGCCUGGCCACAUGGAAGUAUGCGAGACUUAAGAGCUCAAGUGACUAGUGGUCUCCUGCCAUUUCCAGAAGUGACUCUUCAAGCCCUUGGAGAAGACGAAAUAACAUUAGAAUCUGUGCUUCGUGGCAAGUUUGCUGCAGGGAAAAAUGGACUUGCUUGCUUGGCUUGUGGUCCACAACUUGAGGUAGUAAACUCUAUAACAGGAGAGCGAUUGUCUGCUUACAGAUUCAGUGGAGUCAAUGAACAGCCUCCUGUAGUUUUAGCUGUGAAAGAAUUCUCUUGGCAGAAGAGAACUGGAUUAUUAAUAGGAUUGGAAGAAACAGAAGGGAGUGUUCUCUGUCUUUAUGACCUUGGAAUAUCAAAAGUAGUUAAAGCAGUUGUUCUUCCUGGAAG
rnacentral:lncRNA from 1 species